rnacentral:rRNA from 1 species
CGCGUAGGUGGUUGUGUAAGUCGGAUGUGAAAUCCCCAGGCUUAACUUGGGAACUGCAUCCGAUACUGCAUGACUCGAGUGCAGCAGAGGGAAACGGAAUUCCUGGUGUAGAGGUGAAAUUCGUAGAUAUCAGGAGGAACACCGGUGGCGAAGGCGGUUUCCUGGGCUGACACUGACACUGAGGCGCGAAAGCGUGGGUAGCAAACAGGAUUAGAUACCCUGGUAGUCCACGCUGUAAACGGUGAGUGCUGGGUGUGGGAGGUGUAAUGCCUUCUGUGCCGAAGCUAACGCGUUAAGCACUCCGCCUGGGGAGUACGGCCGCAAGGUUGAA